rnacentral:rRNA from 1 species
ACUCCUACGGGAGUGCAAGCAUUUGGGGAAUAUUGACGAACCAAUGGGGGAAACCCUGAUGCAGCCAUGCCGCGUGUGUGAAGAAGGCCUUCGGGUUGAUAAAGCACUUUUCAGUAGGGAGGAAGGUAGUGUAGUUAACACCUGCAUUAUUUGACGUUACCUACAGAAGAAGCACCGGCUAACUCCGUGCCAGCAGCCGCGGUAAUACGGAGGGUGCGAGCGUUAAUCGGAAUUACUGGGCGUAAAGCGCAUGCAGGCGGCCUGUUAAGUCAGAUGUGAAAGCCCGGGGCUUAACCUCGGAAUUGCAUUUGAAACUGGCAGGCUAGAGUCUUGUAGAGGGGGGUAGAAUUUCAGGGUGUAGCGGUGAAAUGCGUAGAGAUCUGAAGGAAAUACCAGUGGCGAAGGCGGCCCCCCUGGACAAAGACUGACGCUCAGAUGCGAAAGCGUGGGGAGCAAACAGGAUUAGAUACCCUGGUAGGAUAG